GAUGAAGAACGUAGCGAAAUGCGAUAAGUAAUGUGAAUUGCAGAAUUCAGUAAAUCAUCGAAUCUUUGAACGCACAUUGCGCCCCUCGGUAUUCCGAGGGGCAUGCCUGUUCGAGCGUCAUUAUAACCCUUCAAGCUCAGCUUGGUGUUGGGGCCUGCUGUAACUGGUAGCCCUUAAAAUCAGUGGCAGUGCUAUUAGGCUCUAAGCGUAGUAAUUCUUCUCGCUAUAGUGUGUAGUGAGCGCUUGCCAGAACCCCAAACUUUUAUAUGAUUGACCUCGGAUCAGGUAGGGAUACCCGCUGAACUUAAGCAUAUCAAUAAGCGGAGGA
rnacentral:misc_RNA from 1 species